CAGCCGAAGCCUUUGUAUAUGUUGAGAUAGUCUGUUUCUGUUAUGUUAACUUAGGUUAGGUCAAGUCAGGGACAAGGCGGAUAUAAUAUCUACAAAUUCACGUUGCAAAUAAUUCUGGUACUUUUUCCAAACUUGUUUGCUUGUGAAGACAACGAUGACAAUAAAUGAUCAUCACAUAGGCCUGUUAGCUCUUCGUGUCCUGGCAGCUCAGUAUGAAAAUUUACCUGAUCCUGGCUAGACGUCCGGUGUUCUAAUUCCGUUACGGAAUUGAUUUCUCACUGUGCCGUCACGUUCAGAUCGGCUCUGAGGCCCACCUAGCCUCUUAUAAAGAGUACUGGUGACGCUGUAACAAGCGGUAAAACUGCAUAAAGUUCAGAGAUCAAAAUGCGUGGCGAUUUACUUCUAUGUCAUGAUAUGGUCCUUAAAUCCAGGACGCAACUUAUUUCUUCUUCAUAUUAGCUCUGAGUGUGUUUCGAGCGCCGUCCGAGAUUGGUUUACCUGACUGCGUUCUCUCGUGAAUAGAUUAGGACAUCCUCAUCUGCGCGCCGUGGUUCUAAUAAAGCGUAAAGGACGCUGAACAGGUCCACCAACAUACAACACCUUACUGAAUGCCCUACGAUCCUACUCAUGGUUAAGUGUAUAAAUGUUACUAACCAUCUCACUCUACGGCUCGACGUUUUCCUUCCUGCCUCAUGAUGUAGCGCUGCGCUGAAUUUCAUUACCGUAAUUUAGAGGGAUACUAUACUCGUAUAUAGACUUCUCACCUCAUAUUUUACAUUUGUUAUUUUACCACAACUCCGAGAAAGUCGAUGCCACUCGGUUCACCUUCCGUCUCCUAACUAAAUAUGUCAAAUCAAAACAUACAAGUACAGUCCAUCCUCAUAACAUUAGGGUUGUCGAAGAAAUGCAUAUGGGCAGUAGAGACAUGUAGCACAGAAGAACGAAACGAAAAAUGAUACAAAGUGUCUGUCGGAAAACCUGAAGGAAAGCGAUUAUUUUGGAAACCUAAUAAUAGAUGGAAUAUACUAAAAUGAACUGGAUCUUACAGAUAUAUGAGGUUGUUAACUGAAUUCGAUUGUUUUAUUAUAGACUGAAGUGACGAGUUCUUGUGAACAUGGUAAUAAACCUUUUGUUUCGUAAAAGGAGUGACUUUCUUGACUAGAUGAGCGACCAUCCGUUUCACAGAAACGUCUCUUCUAAUCGCUAGUCACUCCGUCAGGUUGGUACUGUGACUCAGGCAGAAACGAAAGGAAUUCUUAAUAUGUUUACACUGGGUUCACUAUCUGUUACUGUGCACGCAACGUAGGGCCAGUAUUAGUUACACAAGAUAAGUUGAAAUGACGGACAGACGGAAGAAAAGUGACAGUGAUUCGUGUUCAUGUAUCAGAUGUGGAGCCAAGUUAAGUUAUACGCAUUACAACUCCAUGCUACUUUGCAUGCCACAUGCUUAUUUACUGCAGUGAAAUUCGAUUUGUUACCGCAACAACCAUCUGACUGUUUUGCCCUUUAACUUGCAUUACAUUUUUAUUACACUGGCUGUAUUCCAUUACAAAGGACUUCUGUCAACAGAACUAUAACAACCCGAUGUCUGAAGGGAACUCUAUAUGCCGGAAUAUCAGCGCCACAGUUCUACUCCCCACAUGUGAAGGCUCAGAAGUUCAGUCUGUUAAAUUUCAGCAGUACAACGUCUCUUAGUAUACCGUAACAUAUCUGUUCUAUUCUUCUGGCAGACCUCUGAUUAUCUGUGUGAUAUGAGCUACCAUCGAAGAAAAUUAAAUCGGGGCCAAUAAUUAACUAAAGAUUUCUAUGUGAGAUGUGAAUUUCUAGUGACAGCGAGGAUGAAUAUAUCUGUCUUCUGCGAUGUUGCGCCAUGUGGUCUGGUAAAUGUUUACCGACGUUUCACAGGUACUUGCUGCUUCCAUCAUCAGGGUGAUGAUUGCCCUGCCAGACUUCACGGCGCAAGGUCCCAGAAGACUAAUCUUUUAAACACUCUUUACUUCAGAUAGAAUCAAGAACUGCUUCGAAUUAGUUUCUCAUCUUGAAACGUCCUUGAUACAGAAACACAUGACGAGUCUUUUAUACAUGUCAUGCAUAUAUCAUAAACUGCCAACAAUUUGAGUGCACAGAGAUGUGAAAAAAUCAGACGUUUCAAGCGUAGUUACAGAAAAUACGGUGAAAACAAUGAUUUAGCUAAUGCAAAAUAUCAGACAUUUCAUUUUCAAACCUAUCCAACUUUUGUUAAAGAUAAAUGUACCUAUGCCUGGCGCAGUGACUACAGGCUUAAGGCGCGUACGGUAUUUUAGACAGAUGAACAAUGUGAUCGAGAG